rnacentral:rRNA from 1 species
GCGAGCGGCAAACGGGUGAGUAACGCGUGGGAAUCUACCCAUCUCUACGGAAUAACACAGAGAAAUUUGUGCUAAUACCGUAUACGUCCUUAGGGAGAAAGAUUUAUCGGAGAUGGAUGAGCCCGCGUUGGAUUAGCUAGUUGGUGAGGUAAAGGCUCACCAAGGCGACGAUCCAUAGCUGGUCUGAGAGGAUGAUCAGCCACACUGGGACUGAGACACGGCCCAGACUCCUACGGGAGGCAGCAGUGGGGAAUAUUGGACAAUGGGGGCAACCCUGAUCCAGCCAUGCCGCGUGAGUGAUGAAGGCCCUAGGGUUGUAAAGCUCUUUCACCGGUGAAGAUAAUGACGGUAACCGGAGAAGAAGCCCCGGCUAACUUCGUGCCAGCAGCCGCGGUAAUACGAAGGGGGCUAGCGUUGUUCGGAUUUACUGGGCGUAAAGCGCAUGUAGGCGGAUAUUUAAGUCAGAGGUGAAAUCCCAGGGCUCAACCCUGGAACUGCCUUUGAUACUGGGUAUCUUGAGUAU